UACGGGGGGGGCAAGCGUUGUUCGGAAUUACUGGGCGUAAAGGGCUCGUAGGCGGCCAACUAAGUCAGACGUGAAAUCCCUCGGCUUAACCGGGGGAACUGCGUCUGAUACUGGAUGGCUUGAGUUUGGGAGAGGGAUGCGGAAUUCCAGGUGUAGCGGUGAAAAUGCGUAGAUAUCUGGAGGAACACCAGUGGCGAAGGCGGCUCACUGGUCCGGUACUGACGCUGAGGUGCGAAAGCGUGGGGAGCAAACAGG
rnacentral:rRNA from 1 species